GUCACUUUCAAUGCGUUGAUC
rnacentral:miRNA from 1 species